UGGGGAAUUUUGGACAAUGGGCGAAAGCCUGAUCCAGCAAUGCCGCGUGUGUGAAGAAGGCCUUCGGGUUGUAAAGCACUUUUGUCCGGAAAGAAAUCCUCUGGGUUAAUACCUCGGGGGGAUGACGGUACCGGAAGAAUAAGCACCGGCUAACUACGUGCCAGCAGCCGCGGUAAUACGUAGGGUGCAAGCGUUAAUCGGAAUUACUGGGCGUAAAGCGUGCGCAGGCGGUUUUGUAAGACGGAUGUGAAAUCCCCGGGCUUAACCUGGGAACUGCAUUCGUGACUGCAAGGCUAGAGUAUGGCAGAGGGGGGUAGAAUUCCACGUGUAGCAGUGAAAUGCGUAGAGAUGUGGAGGAAUACCGAUGGCGAAGGCAGCCCCCUGGGCCAAUACUGACGCUCAUGCACGAAAGCGUGGGGAGCAAACAGGAUUAGAUACCCUGGUAGUCCACGCCCUAAACGAUGUCAACUAGUUGUUGGGGAUUCAUUUCCUUAGUAACGUAGCUAACGCGUGAAGUUGACCGCCUGGGGAGUACGGUCGCAAGAUUAAAACUCAAAUGAAUUGACGGGGU
rnacentral:rRNA from 1 species